GUGGGGAAUCUUGCGCAAUGGGCGAAAGCCUGACGCAGCCAUGCCGCGUGAAUGAUGAAGGUCUUAGGAUUGUAAAAUUCUUUCACCGGGGACGAUAAUGACGGUACCCGGAGAAGAAGCUCCGGCUAACUUCGUGCCAGCAGCCGCGGUAAUACGAAGGGGGCUAGCGUUGCUCGGAAUUACUGGGCGUAAAGGGCGCGUAGGCGGACAGCUUAGUCAGAGGUGAAAGCCCAGGGCUCAACCUUGGAAUUGCCUUUGAUACUGGCUGUCUUGAGUUUGGGAGAGGUGAGUGGAACUCCGAGUGUAGAGGUGAAAUUCGUAGAUAUUCGGAAGAACACCAGUGGCGAAGGCAAUCCCCUGGGCCUGCACUGACGCUCAUGCACGAAAGCGUGGGGAGCAAACAGGAUUAGAUACCCGUGUAGUCC
rnacentral:rRNA from 1 species